rnacentral:lncRNA from 1 species
UUUUUAGCUCACCUGGCCUAAAAGGCCAUGUGAGCUUUUCUCAUCACUUGGCGUCCGUCGUCGUCGUCGUCGUCGUCGUCGUCUGUCGUCGUUAACAAUUUUUCAAACAUCUUCUCCUCUGAAACUACUGAAUAGAUUUGAAUGAAACUUAAAAUCAUUGUUCCUUAGAUUAUCCUGCACAAAGUGUGUGCUUCGAUUUUUGAUCCGUCAAAAAACAUGGCCGCCGUUACUUAAAAUAGAACAUAGGGGUUAAAUGCAGUUUUUGGCUUAUAUCUCAAAAACGGAAGCAUUUAGAGCAAAUCUGACAUGGAGAAAAAUGUUCAUUAGGUCAAGAUCUAUCAGCCCAGAAAUUUUCAGAUGAAUCAAACAAACCAUUGUUGGGUUGCUGCCACUUAAUUGGUAAUUUUAAGGAAAUUUUGCAGUUUUUGGUCAUUAUCUUGAAUAUUAUUAUAGAUGAAGAUAAACUGUAAACAGCAAAAAUGAUCAGCAAAGUAAAUCUACAAAUAGGUUAAUAUGACCAAAAUUGUCAAUUGACCCCUUAAGGGUAAAUGUCCUUUAAUGACAAUUUUUCACAAUUUGUUCAUCAUAUUUGCUAACUUUAAAAAAUCUUCUCUGAAACUACUGAAUGGAUUUGGAUGAAACUUACCCGUGCUUGCAUUUCCUAUCAUGAUUUUCUUGAUAGAGGGUUACUGCUCACAAGGAAGCUAUUAAACCAAGAGUUCCAAAUGGUGAAGUUGAAAUCAUCCUUCGUAAAUUUACGGACGCCAUCACGAGUUGGUUGACCGUUAUGGAAUAACCGUUUCACAAAUGAUAUCGGAUAUGUUCCUUACGUCGUAACUACAAUCCCCUUCCCUUUCAUGAAUGUGACCUACCGAAUUAGACUAUUUAACAGAUUUGUAAUCACAUAAGCAACACACGGGUGCCACAUGUGGAGCAGGAUCUGCUUACCCUUCCGGAGCACCUGAGAUCACCCCUAGUUUUUGGUGGGGUUCGUGUUGUUUAUUCUUUAGUUUUCUAUGUUGUGUCAUGUGUGCUGUUUUUUUCUGUUUGUCUUUUUCAUUUUUAGCCAUGGCGUUGUCAGUUUGUUUUAAGAUUUAUGAGUUUGACUGUCCCUUUGGUAUCUUUCGUCCCUCUUUUAGCAUGAUAGUUCCUUAGAUUAUCCUGCACAAAGUGUGUGCUUCGAUUUUUUGAUCCGUCAAAAAACAUGGCCGCCGUUACUUAAAAUAGAACAUAGGGGUCAAAUGCAGUUUUUGGCUUAUAUCUCAAAAACGAAAGCAUUUAGAGCAAAUCUGACAGGGGUAAACAUUUUAUUAGGUCAAGAUCUAUCAGCCCUGAAAUUUUCAGACAAAUCAAACAAACCAUUGUUGGGUUGCUGCCACUUAAUUGGUAAUUUUAAGGAAAUUUUGCAGUUUUUGGUCAUUAUGCUGAAUAUCAUUAUAGAUAAAGAUAAACUGUAAACAGCAAAAAUGAUCAGCAAAGUAAGAUCUACAAAUAGGUUAAUAUGACCAAAAUUGUCAAUUGACCCCUUAAGGGGUAAAUGUCCUUUAAUGACAAUUUUUCACAAUUUGUUCAUCAUAUUUGCUAACUUUAAAAAAUCUUCUCCUCUGAAACUACUGAAUGGAUUUGGAUGAAACUUAGCAUGAUAGUUCCUUAGAUUAUCCUGCACAAAGUGUGUGCUUCGAUUUUUGAUCCGUCAAAAAACAUGGCCGCCCUUACUUUAAAUAGAACAAAGGGGUCAAAUGCAGUUUUUGGCUUAUAUCUCAAAAACGAAAGCAUUUAGAGCAAAUCUGACAUAGGGUAAAAAUGUUCAUUAGGUCAAGAUCUAUCAGCCCUGAAAUUUUCAGACGAAUCAAACAAACCAUUGUUGGGUUGCUGCCACUUAAUUGGUAAAUUUUAAGGAAAUUUUUGCAGUUUUUGGUCAUUAUGUUGAAUAUCAUUAUAGAUAAAGAUAAACUGUAAACAGCAAAAAUGAUCAGCAAAGUAAGAUCUACAAAUAGGUUAA